AGUGAACGCUGGCGGUAGGCCUAACACAUGCAAGUCGAACGGCAGCACAGAAGAGCUUGCUCUCUGGGUGGCGAGUGGCGGACGGGUGAGGAAUACAUCGGAAUCUACUUUUUCGUGGGGGAUAACGUAGGGAAACUUACGCUAAUACCGCAUACGACCUACGGGUGAAAGCAGGGGACCUUCGGGCCUUGCGCGAUUGAAUGAGCCGAUGUCGGAUUAGCUAGUUGGCGGGGUGAAGGCCCACAAAGGCGACGAUCCGUAGCUGGUCUGAGAGGAUGUACAGUCACACUGGAACUGAGGCACGGGCCAGACUCCUACGGGAGGCAGCGGUGGGGAAUAUUGGGCAAUGGGCGCAAGCCUGAUCCAGCCAUACCGCGUGGGUGAAGAAGGCCUUCGGGUUGUAAAGCCCUUUUGUUGGGAAAGAAAUCCAGCUGGCUAAUACCCGGUUGGGAUGACGGUACCCAAAGAAUAAGCACCGGCUAACUUCGUGCCAGCCGCCGCCGUAA
rnacentral:rRNA from 1 species